rnacentral:lncRNA from 1 species
ACACCUGGGCGGCCAGCGGCGAGUCCCGGGCAGCCGCCCGACCCGCGGCGCUCUGCCCAUCUUGCAGGGAAGUGGUCAUUGUCGCCGGUCGGGGGGCUCAGGCGUCAUGGGAGACCCGGCGCGGGGGGAGAAGGAGGUCGGGCGGCUGGAGGCGAGGUGCCGGCUCGGCAGCCGGAGCGCGCUGCAGAUCACCUCAGCUGUCGCCGGGCCGCCAUGACAGGCCCCACCGUGCCGGGAGGCCAGGGGGCCAGGCUUAUUGGUAACCAGCUACUCAACUGGACUCUCUCCUAAUGGCAUCAAUCACACUAUGAAAGAUUUCUUUUGGACUUUUUGUUUAUCCAGAUGAAGAUGACCGGCAGGAAGUUGGGAUGUGAGACUCGCUUGAAAAAUCUCGGCUGGAAUCACCUAUUUGGGAUUCUUGUGCAGGUAGGCAAUAAUUGAAAAUCAUAAGGUAGAUGAGAUUAUCAGAAGCAAAGGUAUGAGAAGUGAAAAGUAAAGAUGAAUAAACCUCAGGCAGGAACAUUUAGGGGACAGAAGGAGGAAGAAGAAGCCUCAAAGUAGACAGAGAAGGUGGGGUCAAAGAGGUAGGUAGUUAUUACUUCCCUCAGGGGGUUAUUUCUGCUAGUUUCAAGACUGAGAACUACUGUCUUAGUUUAAUGAUAGAAAAUGAUGGAAAUAGCUAGGAGGAAGUAAGUUGGUAAAUAUGGAUUAGGCCAAGGCAAAUUUGAUGCACUGAAUAGAAUUUUUUGCAGCCAUUUACUUUUAAAACUUCUUUUUACAAUGCUACUUCAAAAUUGGUUUAUUUUCCCAGGUAUCCCCCCACACACUUUUAAAUAAAAGUAGUAGGCGCUACUAGUAGAUAAAGAAUUCCUGAUAAAUUUUUUAAACAUUCAGGAAUAUUCUGCUGAGUUUUAAACUUGUUUCAAAUGUGAAUUGUAUCACUAGCAAUUGAUUUUAUAGUAGACUUUGAAUCAAAAAUAGUCAGUUAAUUGAAUGAUUUUAUCUCAGCUACUAAUGUACACUUUUCUCUUUCUAGUAUUUUGUAUCUGAAAUACUAAUCCCUCUUUGCCCUCUGGUUUUCAGUCUUUAGUAAGUUAGAUAAUAACAUUUUACUUUUUAAAAAUUUCAAUUUGACAUAAGUGCAGUUUCUUCUCUAAACUUUAAUAGUGCUAAAGCCACAGAAAUACUCUUCAAUAUUCAGAUUUGGGGGGGGGGAGUCGAUAAACACCCAGUGUAUUUCUAUUGUAUCAGUAUGUGAUGCUUCUACAGAAAGCAAAAAAAAGUGAAAAAAUAAUUUUAUUGCUCAAGAUCAAAACUUAUUUGCUGUCUUUUUUUUUCCUUUGAAGUAUACAUGAUUUAACAUAUUAUAUUAGUUUCAUGUGUACAACAUAGUGAUUCUAUAUUUUGUAGAUUACACAUUAUGCAAAGUUAUUGUAAAGUAUUGACUAUUUCCUGCGUUUGCUCAAUCUUAAUAAAAAUAUGCAUAAUUCAGGAAUUCCUGUCAUGGCUCAGCACUAAUGAGUCUGAUUAAUAUCUAUGAAGAUGUGGGUUUGAUCCCUGGCCUUGCUCAGUGGGUUAAGGAUCCGACGUUGCUGUGAGCUGUGGUGUGGAUCACAGAUGCAGCUCAGAUCUGGCAUUGCUGCAGCUGUGGUAUAGGCCAGCAGCUACAGCUCUGAUUU